UGUUUUGGGGAGUGGGACUGGAUCUGGCUGUGCCAGACCAUCAGGCUCUCCUGGGGACAGCUCUUCAGUUUGCAGCUUUUCUGCUCCCAUCAGAGCAGCUCUGGCAGUGUGCGACAUCACAGUGGCUGGAUGGCUUCGGGAUCAGUGGCACUUGACAAGCUUUGAUAUUUGAAUCAGUAUCCAGGUGUAAUGCUUGAGCCUGCAGGAAACUGCUGGGCUACCGGUGAGCAGAGUGAGCUGUUGGUUGUGCUGUAGCUUGGCUCCCAGAAGCUCACUGCUGCUGAGGCCAUUGGUGCAGCUGUGAUGCUGUCAGUGCAGCCAUCCCGCCAGCUCCCAGCUCUGUCAUGGUGUUGAGCUGGUGCCCUCAGCCCCUCGCCAUGCUGCAACACCCUGAAAUGUCUCUGCCCUCACUCUGCCGGCAGUGCAUGUGGAGCCUCAGAACUCUUGCGCAAGGGAAAGAAAAAGAAGGAAAAGAAAAUUUAAAAAGCUGGCUAAGUCGGGACUGUGCUCUCUGCCUGCAUCAGGUGUACUUCAGCCUCAGCUGCACUAUGGCCAUGGAUUUCAGCAAGUGAAACAAGGAACAGAGGGGAAGCAGCUUCUCAGUACCCUGGGAACACAGGCCCACCUGAUCAAGGGGGACUCAGUGAUGAAAAAUGGCCCAUUCUCCAGGAGUUUCCUGGUGUUCCCUCCUCCUCUCCAGGCUCCAGUCGGCUCCUCCAGCUGCCCAGCUCUGUGGAUCUCCUCUGAUUUCUGAAAUCCUUACAGAUGAAGCCUGGGAGAUAGAGCUGAGCAACAAGGGGGUUGCUGCAAGUAUCAGAAGUUAAUAUAUUCCACUUUUUUCAUCUUCCUGGGGUACAGUUGCUGCAGCAAUCGCUGUGGGGAUGGCAGUGGGUGACCAGCCUGUCCUGCCUGAGCAGCUCAGCUUUUUCCGGGGCAGAAGCUGAAAGCCUGGGCUCAGGCUCGGGUGCAGGGCAAGCAUCCUUCUGUCUGGGGAUUUCCUCUCCCAGUGGGGCAGGGCUGCAGCGAGUGGAUCUUCACCAGAGGAUGCAGAUCAGAGCAGACCAGCCCCACUGGUCUGUGCAAAAACAUCUGUAAAAACUGAUCUGUUAACAAGCUGUGAAACAAGACAGACAGACAGGCAGCUGGCAGCCUGUCCUCUGAAAGGAAGGACACGUUCCGUCAGCAGAAAAGUGCUGCUUUCUGCAAAGCAUUUCUCCUUAUUUCAUCCAGGCUCAUGCAGACAGAGUUACCCAGGUGCUGAGUUGGACUCAGGACUGUGGAGCAGCUGAGGCACUCAGAUCAUGCAGGUCCCCUUCAUGUAUCCCAUCUAG